GAUGAACGCUGGCGGCGUGCUUAACACAUGCAAGUCGAACGAAACACCUUAUUUGAUUUUCUUCGGAACUGAAGAUUUGGUGAUUGAGUGGCGGACGGGUGAGUAACGCGUGGGUAACCUACCUUGUACAGGGGGAUAACAGUCAGAAAUGACUGCUAAUACCGCAUAAGACCACGGCACCGCAUGGUGCAGGGGUAAAAACUCCGGUGGUACAAGAUGGACCCGCGUCUGAUUAGCUGGUUGGUGAGGUAACGGCUCACCAAGGCGACGAUCAGUAGCCGGCUUGAGAGAGUGAACGGCCACAUUGGGACUGAGACACGGCCCAAACUCCUACGGGAGGCAGCAGUGGGGAAUAUUGCACAAUGGGGGAAACCCUGAUGCAGCGACGCCGCGUGAGUGAAGAAGUAUCUCGGUAUGUAAAGCUCUAUCAGCAGGGAAGAAAAUGACGGUA
rnacentral:rRNA from 1 species